rnacentral:rRNA from 1 species
UUAGAGGUUCGAAGGCGAUCAGAUACCGCCCUAGUUCUAACCAUAAACGAUGCCAGCCAGCGAUCCGGCUGUGUUCCUCAAAUGACACGCCGGGCAGCUUCCGGGAAACCAAAGCUUUUGGGUUCCGGGGGAAGUAUGGUUGCAAAGCUGAAACUUAAAGGAAUUGACGGAAGGGCACCACCAGGAUUGGAGCUUGCGGUUUAAUUUGACUCAACACGGGACAACCUACCCGGCCCGGACACAGGAAGGAUUGACAGAUUAAGAGCUCUUUCUUGAUUCUGUGGGUGGUGGUGCAUGGCCGUUCUUAGUUGGUGGACUGAUUUGUCUGGUUAAUUCCGUUAACGAACGAGACUCUAGCCUACUAAAUAGACGUUCCGAUUAUUUAUUUUUCGGACGUUCUUCUUAGAGGGACAAUCGGCGCUUAGCCCGAUGAGACAGAGCAAUAACAGGUCUGUGAUGCCCUUUGAUGUCCGGGGCCACACGCGUGCUACAUUGAAGGAAUCAGCGUGUGCUUUCCCUGUCCGACAGGACUGGGUAACCCGUUGAACCUCCUUCGUGCUGGGGAUAGGGGCUUGUAAUUGUUCCCCUUGAACGAGGAAUUCCUAGUAAGCACGAAUCAUCAGUUCGUGUUGACUAAGUCCCUGCCCUUUGUCCACACCGCCCGUCGCUACUACCGAUUGAAUGAUUUAG